AUGCGUAGCCUGAGCCCCCUGUACUCUUUCCUCCUCCUCCUUACCGGCGCAACCAUGGCCGCCGCGGACCCUUGGUCCACCGACUGCCCGAGCGACACAAACUACACCCGCGGCGGCGUCUUCCAGGCCAACCUCGACGCCCUCCUCUCGUUCCUCUCCGCCGCUGCGUCGGACGCGUCCGGGUUGGCCGAGAACACCACCGGCACAGCGCCCGACGAGGCGUACGGUCUCGCGCACUGCCGCGCCGACGUCAAUGCAUCCGAGUGCCGCUCGUGCCUCGACACCUGGGCGCGGGACGCAGCCAUCAAGUGCCCCGGCCAGAAAAAGUCCACGCUCUUCUACGACGCCUGCCUCCUGCGCCACUAG
rnacentral:rRNA from 1 species